UGUUCUUUCACUGCCAAUUGGUGAAAAAGCUCUUUCUUCAUCCUCUCCUGCCUUCAGAAGGGAAUUCAAAGAUGCAAUAGCAGGAUCCAAGGGACCAGCGCUAUCAUUAUCAAAACCGUCAUCCAUUAUCUUAUCAGUUUUCUAGUUCGUCAAGACUGCGAAUCUCCUCCCACGUGUCUAGCUGUGACUGCGUCAACUCUACCUUGUAACAGGCAGGACGGUAAUGGACUGGAGUAUUCUUGAAAGUAACCUGAUCAAUAUAGAAACAUCAUGAAAUAACUGUUAUAAAAUUCCUAUUAUGAUUGGCAGAAGGUGCAUGCUUUAUGUACAGUAACAAUUAUUCACCCAAGGCAAAGUGAAUAUCGGGGAAUAUUUACCGAGACAUGAGUCUUGGAGCUGCAAGAUAAAUAUUCUCCAAUAUUCACUGAGGCUGAGGCAGAUAAUUGUUUUAGCAUAAAUACACAGGUGGUUCUUUCAAAAAAAGAAAAACAAGAUAAAAGACAUUUUUUCUGGUAACAGCAACAAAGUGGCUGGCUGCCAUUUUGGAUUAUCACUGGAGUUGAAUAUGGUGUGAUAGUGUGAGUUUCUGGACCUGUGCAUUUUUACUAAAAGGGUAUACAGCAUCAGUUUAUGCUCUGCCUAUUUUGUCAUCCAAAAGAAUGGGUUUCAGUAGUUAUAUAUCAUUUCAAGGCUUAAAAUAAAUUCUGGUCAUUGAACAAAGUUAAACCGGAAUAUAAAUUUGUCCAGUCAAAUAUUUCCCUUGUCCAGUAACGUUGAGCCAAAAACAAGUUUUGGUCAGUCAUCAUGACAGGCGACUGAACAGCUGUCAUCUCAAGGCUUGCAUUCAACUGAAACCUACACAUCUUACAUGAUGAACACAUUCUAAGACAUCUGGUUAUUUGGAUUUUGUUAAUCAAGAAUUCUAACUUAAAUAGAUGACAGGGCAGAAAAAUAGGUUGUUCUUGCAACGUCUAUGCGUUAAUAAGCUUUAUAUUCCAUAAACAGGCUCUUUUGGGGCUGGUUAACAAAAUACCAAAAUUUGGUGAAAUUCAAAGAAUGCGUAUUUGAGAUAUAACGCCCUGAAAGUUGGGAGAGAUGAUAUUUUGAUCAGCACAAAAACUAACAUUUUCACUAAUACCUCAAAGUAGAAUUGCUCAAGGUUAGCAGAAUUUUGUGAAAAGAGCGCAAGAGACACAAAUGGAACGCUAAAUGUUUUUUAGCAUGAAUGAGAGAUCAAGAAAAAAAUUGUGAAAGUAGCAGCCUUGUCGUUUUUCUGCUCUGUCUAGAUGGAUGUAAAAUUUACAAAGUCCAAAAAACAAGAUGUAUCUCAGAUUUUAUCUGUGUCCCAUAAUUAGAAAAACAGGUGGGAAUUGCAAGUCGGCGUAUGGUUACAGUUGGAAUAGCCAUUGCAUACUUUAUUCCAACAAGAUAUAGAAAGUGAAAUCUUUCAGUUUUAAAGAUAAUGGAUUAAUGAUCUAUCAAAAUUAAUAUAAUAACAUGUGGAAUUUUAUAAUUCUUUUUCUUCUUGUCUUUUCUAUUUACGUGCAAAGUCGUAAUGAUCUGAAUAACAAAUUUAGUCAUCUUAUACUAAUUAAUUAAUAAAAUAACCUACAAAAAUACAUAAGCUUACAGAGUAUAAGGCUUCGGUGUGGUAAACUAUUUUUGAACCAAUUACUAUUUCUAAGUAACCUUAUCCGAUUUUAACUCAAGCUGAUUAACAAAAAUAUAUAAAUUGGUCUUUAACUAAUGUAUAUAUGAAAUAAAAAUACAAUCUCCAGUCAUAACGGACUGAAUAUUGAUAGGAAAAAAGAUUUCUUAUUUUUACCCCAAAAAAUUGAUUUAGUCGAUGACGUAAAUCAUUAGCAAGCAUCUUUGAAUUUAACUUCAAAAAAGAAUAUUACGAGUCUACGUACUCAAAAUAUCCCUCAGAGAACAUAAUAAAAGUCUUAUGAGUGUUUUCUGUAAAUAUAUUUUAAACUAAAGCACAUAUUUUGACGAGAAAUCUUAGACUCGUGGGCCUAAUUUGUCAUGUUUAUGCUUGACGUUAAUUAUAUUGUAGCAUCUGCAAAUUGAUAAUAAAGGGAAGUACUAGCCUCCUGAA
rnacentral:lncRNA from 1 species